AGAAGUAGAGAGAAGACAUUGCUGGAACUGGCAACAGAGGAGAAGAGUAUUUCGAAGGACAUAAGGUUUUCUACAAGGACGUCAUGAUGGAGAAUCAGCCGUCCUUCACAUCACCGGAUGGAUCCAGUAAUGGGAACCCACCAGAGAGAUG